rnacentral:lncRNA from 1 species
GACAACAUGCCUUCCUUGGUUGCCCUGUUACAUGAAUCAGUAGAGAAGAAUCAAAAAACUGGGGCAAAUAUAUUAUGAACAGACCAUUCAAGAAAAGGAUAGUUAUUUAGAAUGAUAACACAAAUUGAGUUAGUACCAUCCUUUUUGUUCUCCAGCUAGUUAAAAUGAGAUACUCUCAUACAAGAAAACAGAGAAACAAUAUGAAAACUAACAAUAGGGAUGCCAUAGCUGAAAUGAGCAAGCUAUUUUGUAUUUGAGAAACAAAAAAUGCACCAAUAAUUUUUCAGAAGGCAACUGAACUUCAGUGCACACAUUUAGAUAGAAACAAGGGCUUGAACUAUAUACAUUAAUUAGAACAGGAUCGAAAAACACCAAUGUAAGCUAGAAUUGACAAGUACACUGUAGGAUUCAAUUCGGCUUCCCCAUAUACAGCAACCAACAGACAUCUAACAUCAUUAUUUUACCGCAAAAGACCGGCCCAUAGCAAUAGAAGCACAAAAUUUAAGCACACAAGCACAUUAUAGCAGGUAGUAAUAGAAGCACAAAAUUUGAGCUUGCAAGCACAUUAUAGCAGGUAGGGAAGUGGGAAGAUGAACUAAUUUAGAUGCCAAUUGAUAACAUACAACACACCUCAUCCACAGCAAUACACUUAUAAGAUGGUUGGACAAUGACACAAGAAUUUCCACAAACAAUUCAUGUUGACGAUUAAGUUGUGUAAUACAUAGGGCAAUUAGACUAGUGCGAACAAGAAGAUAAUUUACAAGUUACAAACUAUAAUAGCAAAUGGCCAAAUGUUCCAACCAAGAUCAACCAGAGCAUUCAAGAGAUGGAGAGAUCCACCACGGACAAAACAAAUUACAACAGACUAGGCGUGCAGGUGCAUAUGCUUGUGAGGAGGAAAAUAAUGGUACAUUCACAACUUCAGUUCAGGUAAAUAUCACCACAUGUAUCAGUAUACAGGCAGCAAUAGUAUCAUCGAGCAGAGAGAAACAGCAGCUUGACCCAUAUAAGUCAUAGCUCUUAAGAGAGAAAGAAAGAACAGGUUCAGCUAGCUAUGUAUUCACAGUUGAGAGCUAAGCAAUUUGUUUGUUUAUGCUGUAAUUGACAGACCUAGUACAAGAAACAAGCAAAGUGAAAUAGUAUUGACUAAUUCGAUGGCAAUACAAGCUAAUCUACUUAGUUAGUAGGUGACCAUCCAAUCCAUGAUGCAGCAACAGGUGCAAAUAUGAUAUGACGUGAGAAGAAGCUAGCUGGAGAGGUUGGGGAUGAAACCAAAAUUACAAAACA